AGCGGAGUAGGGUAGCUCGGAGUGCCCGAUGGGCUCAUAACCCAUAGAUCGGUGGUUCAAAUCCACCCUCCGCUA
rfam:Candidatus Buchananbacteria bacterium RIFCSPHIGHO2_01_FTLL_39_14 rifcsphigho2_01_scaffold_37225, whole genome shotgun sequence.